GUCCACGCCCUAAACGAUGAUAACUCGUUGUUGGCGAUACACAGUCAGCGACUAAGCGAAAGCAUUAAGUUAUCCACCUGGGAAGUACGACCGCAAGGUUGAAACUCAAAGGAAUUGACGGGGGCCCGCACAAGCGGAGGAGCAUGUGGUUUAAUUCGAUGAUACGCGAGGAACCUUACCUGGGCUUGAAAGUUAGUGACAUCCCGUGAAAGCGGGACUUCCGCAAGGACAUGAAACUAGGUGCUGCAUGGCUGUCGU
rnacentral:rRNA from 1 species